UACGUAGGUGGCAAGCGUUGUCCGGAUUUACUGGGCGUAAAGAGCGCGCAGGCGGUCGUUCAAGUCGCGUGUGAAAGCCCCCGGCUCAACUGGGGAGGGUCACGCGAUACUGAUCGACUCGAAGGCAGGAGAGGGUAGUGGAAUUCCCGGUGUAGCGGUGAAAUGCGCAGAUAUCAGGAGGAACACCAAUGGCGAAGGCAGCACUCUGGGACGUGACUGACGCUGAGACGCGAAAGCGUGGGGAGCAAACAGG
rnacentral:rRNA from 1 species